CGUGCUGAGCCCAGCCGAGCCCAGCCGAGCCGAGCCGGGCCGGGCCGGGCCCGCGGCGGGCGAUCGCGCUCAGACACACGUAGGCUGCCAGGCGGCGGGGCCGCGCCAGAGUUAUGCCGUGGGGCAGCGCCAAAGUAUGCAAAGGAAAAAUGCUAUUAGCUCAUCAGCGCUGGAGAGACUCGAAACGGGGUGGCGGCGAAGGGGGAAGGGGCCGCUAGCGAGAGGAGCAGCCCCUCGAGGAUCCAGAGCUGCUUUUCUGAGUGUGAGUCACACGAGGAGCGCGCUGGCGGCUGCUCGCCGGGAGGCGAAACCCGCACGGCCGGGACCGGCACCGGCACCGGGACCCCGGCACCGGGACCCCUGCACCGGGACCCCUGCACCAGGACCCCCGCUGCCUUUGCCAAGGGCCUCCGGCUGAGAGCCAGACAGAGCGGCGGAGGGGACCAUCACCAUCACCACCACCACUGUUAACACCACCACCACCACCAUCACUCAGCCCCACGGCGACAUCUCAGUGCUGGGAUGUGUCCUCCCUCCACCACUACCACCACCUCCACCACCACCACUGGUCCCACACCAGCAGCUCGGUGCUUUGGACGUGCUCCCCGCCACCACCACCACACACACAGGGAUCCCCCAGGCUGGGCUGGGUGUGCUCCUCGUGGCUGCUGUGCUGAGGUGACCUCCAGGCUCUCCUCUUGUGCCACGGCCCAUGGUGGUUCGUUUGCGUGUUGCCUCCAGAGGUUUGCAGGCUGUGACCCAAGUCCUACAAAAUGGGGCACUGUGCUGUGGCUGUGAGGGCAUGCGAGGGUGAGGCACCCAACACUGGUGCCACCAAGGCCUGACCUGGCAGCUCUCCGUGGCCCCUGACAAGCACUGUGCCCAGUGUCACCCCAGUGUCCCAUCAGGCCCACCACUGUGGCUGAUAUCUGUGGCUGUGCUGCAAGAGAGUGUGAGGCCCUGGGCACUGAAACACCGCAUCCACCCACAUCAUCUCAAGGCCCCAGAUCCCUGGGAUAUCAGUGGACAAGUGUAAAAACUCCCUGUCUGGAGGACUCUGGGGAGCACAGGGUGGUUUUCAUCACAGAGAGCAAAGUCUUCUUGCCUGGAGCACCCCAGCAGCCAUGUGGGUGCUGGUUGUCCCUGGCAGCCAGCAGCAGGCUGGUGAGGACCACCCACCAGACCAGGGCCCCUGACAGACCCUGUCCCUGGCAGCCCGCUGCGGAGUUGGGUCUCCUUACUCAUCACGUUUGUGUGCUGUUUGUCCCCUCAGAUCAUUCCCAUUGUGGCUUUGAAAAUAGUCUUCUCCAUUUAAAGUUUUGCCUGGAACAAUCAGUGACUAAGACUGAGUAAAAUGGAAAGGUUGAAGACAGGGAAAAUACAACACCGAAGAAAUGAGGUUGCCUAACUAUACCUUGGUCUGUGGAGGCCAUCAAAAAGCCCACCAGCUGCUGUGAGCAGACAGACAUAUGGUGGUGAAAAUCUCUUGAAAGUCUCAUAAGCAAGCCAGGAAGUUCAGUCCUGGAUUGUCUUCACAAGCAGAGCAAGUCUUCAACAACUGCCUAAUUUUAUUGAAGCUUUCAAUCCUGAGAAGAGGACAUCAUGACAAACCUUAAAAGCUUAAGUAAAUUCAGAAAAAUAAAUGUCUGGCUAAACGCA